rnacentral:rRNA from 1 species
UACGGAGGGUGCAAACGUUGCUCGGAAUCAUUGGGCGUAAAACGCACGUAGGCGGACCGCUAAGUCGGAUGUGAAAGCCCUCGGCUUAACCGAGGAAGUGCAUUCGAAACUGACAGUCUUGAGUAUGGAAGAGGGUCGCGGAAUUCCCGGUGUAGAGGUGAAAUUCGUAGAUAUCGGGAGGAACACCAGUGGCGAAGGCGGCUGCCUGGCCGGAUACUGACGCUGAAGCGCGAAAGCGUGGGGAGCAAACAGG